rnacentral:tRNA from 1 species
CGGAGCCGACGGGAUUCGAACCCGCGAUCUCUGCCUUGACAGGGCAGUGUGUUCACCAGGCUACACCACGGCUCC